rnacentral:rRNA from 1 species
UACGAAGGGUGCAAGCGUUACUCGGAAUUACUGGGCGUAAAGCGUGCGUAGGUGGUUUGUUAAGUCUGAUGUGAAAGCCCCGGGCUCAACCUGGGAAUUGCAUUCAAAACUGGCAGACUAGAGUAUGUGAGAGGGGGGUAGAAUUCCAAGUGUAGCGGUGAAAUGCGUAGAGAUUUGGAGGAAUACCAGUGGCGAAGGCGGCCCCCUGGCACAAUACUGACGCUGAGGUGCGAAAGCGUGGGGAUCAAAC